rnacentral:rRNA from 1 species
UCGUACGCACUGGCCCAACUGAUUGAUGGUGCUUGCACCUGAUUGACGAUGGAUUACCAGUGAGUGGCGGACGGGUGAGUAACACGUAGGUAACCUGCCCCGGAGCGGGGGAUAACAUUUGGAAACAGAUGCUAAUACCGCAUAACAACAAAAGCCACAUGGCUUUUGUUUGAAAGAUGGCUUUGGCUAUCACUCUGGGAUGGACCUGCGGUGCAUUAGCUAGUUGGUAAGGUAACGGCUUACCAAGGCGAUGAUGCAUAGCCGAGUUGAGAGACUGAUCGGCCACAAUGGAACUGAGACACGGUCCAUACUCCUACGGGAGGCAGCAGUAGGGAAUCUUCCACAAUGGGCGCAAGCCUGAUGGAGCAACACCGCGUGAGUGAAGAAGGGUUUCGGCUCGUAAAGCUCUGUUGUUGGAGAAGAACGUGCGUGAGAGUAACUGUUCACGCAGUGACGGUAUCCAACCAGAAAGUCACGGCUAACUACGUGCCAGCAGCCGCGGUAAUACGUAGGUGGCAAGCGUUAUCCGGAUUUAUUGGGCGUAAAGCGAGCGCAGGCGGUUGCUUAGGUCUGAUGUGAAAGCCUUCGGCUUAACCGAAGAAGUGCAUCGGAAACCGGGCGACUUGAGUGCAGAAGAGGACAGUGGAACUCCAUGUGUAGCGGUGGAAUGCGUAGAUAUAUGGAAGAACACCAGUGGCGAAGGCGGCUGUCUGGUCUGCAACUGACGCUGAGGCUCGAAAGCAUGGGUAGCGAACAGGAUUAGAUACCCUGGUAGUCCAUGCCGUAAACGAUGAGUGCUAGGUGUUGGAGGGUUUCCGCCCUUCAGUGCCGGAGCUAACGCAUUAAGCACUCCGCCUGGGGAGUACGACCGCAAGGUUGAAACUCAAAGGAAUUGACGGGGGCCCGCACAAGCGGUGGAGCAUGUGGUUUAAUUCGAAGCUACGCGAAGAACCUUACCAGGUCUUGACAUCUUGCGCUAACCUUAGAGAUAAGGCGUUCCCUUCGGGGACGCAAUGACAGGUGGUGCAUGGUCGUCGUCAGCUCGUGUCGUGAGAUGUUGGGUUAAGUCCCGCAACGAGCGCAACCCUUGUUACUAGUUGCAGCAUUAAGUUGGGCACUCUAGUGAGACUGCCGGUGACAAACCGGAGGAAGGUGGGGACGACGUCAGAUCAUCAUGCCCCUUAUGACCUGGGCUACACACGUGCUACAAUGGACGGUACAACGAGUCGCAAGCUCGCGAGAGUAAGCUAAUCUCUUAAAGCCGUUCUCAGUUCGGACUGUAGGCUGCAACUCGCCUACACGAAGUCGGAAUCGCUAGUAAUCGCGGAUCAGCAUGCCGCGGUGAAUACGUUCCCGGGCCUUGUACACACCGCCCGUCACACCAUGGGAGUUUGUAACGCCCAAAGUCGGUGGCCUAACCUUUAUUGGGAAGGA